GCUCUUCAUUCACCACCUCAAACCCAGAUUUCUACCUCUGCGGUAGCUGUCAUUUUUGGAGGGUGUUUUAAUUGGCUGUAGAGACGAGUCCUCCCCCCGCCAUCCCCUGGUUCUCUCUUCCCGCUCGCUCCUCUUCCUACCUGCCGUGCUGUUCUGCCCUGGAGUCAGCUGACCGCGACUUCAGAUGAACCCCUCCCACUGCAAGCAGUGUGCGCCCGUACCGUGUCUCAGAGACAAAGGCAGAGGCGAAGGCGCAGUCUCCUCCGUGCUCCUCCAGCCCUCCUGAGCUCCUUGCGUCAGAGCCCACACAGAAGCCACAGGUCCACUCCUGCACCUGUGUCGGCAGAACAGCCUCACCUCCACAGCUGGCUCUGGCCCACUCUCCUGUCUUGAGGUGAAGAGGGGAGCCCCAUCUUCCAGGGCUUGACUUUUGGGAAUUUAAUCCUGCCAGAGGAAGGAUGCCCCCGGAGUGUGGGGGGCCAUCUGUGGGGAAGCAUGCCCGUGUCCCCUCAGCCUGUGGCUGCUGCA
rnacentral:lncRNA from 1 species